AUUGAACGCUGGCGGCAGGCCUAACACAUGCAAGUCGAACGAGUGGCGGACGGGUGAGUAAUGUCUGGGAAACUUCCUGAUGGAGGGGGAUAACUCCUGGAAACGGUCGCUACUACCGCCUUCAAUCGGAUGUGCCCAGAUGGGAGUAGCUAGGAGGUGGGGUAAAGGCUCACCUAGGCGACGAUCCCUAGCUGGGCUGAGAGGAUGCCCAGACACACUGGAACUGAGACAGUGUCCAGACGCCUACGGGAGGCAGCAGUGGGGAAUAUUGCACAAUGGGCGCAAGCCGGAUGCAGCCAUGCCGCGUGUAUGAAGAAGGCCUUCGGGUUGUAAAGUACUUUCAGCGAGGAGGCGUUACCCGCAGAAGAAGCACCGGCUAACUCCGUGCCAGCAGCCGCGGUAAUUC
rnacentral:rRNA from 1 species